GACAGAGGAUGCAAGCGUUAUCCGGAAUGAUUGGGCGUAAAGCGUCUGUAGGUGGCUUUUUAAGUCCGCCGUCAAAUCCCAGGGCUCAACCCUGGACAGGCGGUGGAAACUACCAAGCUGGAGUACGGUAGGGGCAGAGGGAAUUUCCGGUGUAGCGGUGAAAUGCGCAGAUAUCAGGAGGAACACCGGUGGCGAAGGCGGGUCUCUGGGCCGAUACUGACGCUGAGGAGCGAAAGCGUGGGGAGCGAACAGG
rnacentral:rRNA from 1 species